AUACGGAGGGUGCAAGCGUUAUCCGGAUUCAUUGGGUUUAAAGGGUGCGCAGGCGGACUUGUAAGUCAGUGGUGAAAUCUCGGGGCUCAACCUCGGAACUGCCAUUGAUACUGCAAGUCUUGAGUUUGGUUGAAGUGGGCGGAAUGUAGCAUGUAGCGGUGAAAUGCAUAGAUAUGCUACAGAACACCGAUCGCGAAGGCAGCUCACUAAACCAACACUGACGCUCAGGCACGAAAGCGUGGGGAGCGAACAGGAUUAGAAACCCCGGUAGUCC
rnacentral:rRNA from 1 species